rnacentral:rRNA from 1 species
UAGUCCACACCGUAAACGAUGAGAGCUAGUUGUCUGCAGGCAUGCCUGUAGGUGACGCAGCUAACGCAUUAAGCUCUCCGCCUGGGGAGUACGGUCGCAAGAUUAAAACUCAAAGGAAUUGACGGGGGCCUGCACAAGCGGUGGAGCAUGUGGUUUAAUUCGACGCAACGCGCAGAACCUUACCAGCUUUUGACAUCCUGGUCGCGGAUUUGGGAGACCAUUUCCUUCAGUUCGGCUGGACCAGUGACAGGUGCUGCAUGGCUGUCGUCAGCUCGUGUCGUGAGAUGUUGGGUUAAGUCCCGCAACGAGCGCAACCCUCAUCCUUAGUUGCCAGCAUUUAGUUGGGCACUCUGAGGAAACUGCCGGUGAUAAGCCGGAGGAAGGUGGGGAUGACGUCAAGUCCUCAUGGCCCUUACAAGCUGGGCUACACACGUGCUACAAUGGCGAUGACAGUGAGCAGCUAACCCGCGAGGGC